rnacentral:rRNA from 1 species
AACGAACGCUGGCGGCAUGCCUAACACAUGCAAGUCGAACGAGACCUUCGGGUCUAGUGGCGCACGGGUGCGUAACGCGUGGGAACCUGCCCUUAGGUUCGGAAUAACUCCCCGAAAGGGGUGCUAAUACCGGAUAAUGUCUUCGGCCCAAAGAUUUAUCGCAUUUGGAUGGGCCCGCGUUGGAUUAGCUAGUUGGUAGGGUAAAAGCCUACCAAGGCGACGAUCCAUAGCUGGUCAGAGAGGAUGAUCAGCCACACUGGGACUGAGACACGGCCCAGACUCCUACGGGAGGGAGCAGUGGGGAAUAGUGGAAAAGGGGCGAAAGCCUGAUCCAGCAAUGCCGCGUGAGUGAUGAAGGCUUUAGGGUUGUAAAGCUCUUUUAACCGGGAUGAUAAUGACAGUACCGGGAGAAUAAGCUCCGGCUAACUCCGUG